UUCACAGAAGUGUGAUUGACUUGGAGUUACAUUGUGUUGUUUAAGUGUUGCCUUUAUUUUUUUGAGCAGUGUAUUUGCAGACACUUCAAACAGACAUACAGUGGCAAGAGAAAGUAUGUGCACCAUUUGGAAUUACCUGGAGUUCUGCAUAAAUUGCAACCGAGGACAAACAAUUUUUACGCGCUACAAGCUUCAGCACUCGCCGGUCUUCACAGCUGAGUUGUUGUUGCUCCUAGACUUUCCACUUCAUAAUAACAGUACUUACAGUUUAACCUUUAUUUAACUAGGCAAGUCAGUUAAGAACAAAUUCUUAUUUUCAAUGACGGCCUAGGAACAGUGGGUUAACUGUCUGUUCAGGGGCAGAACGACAGAUUUGUACCUUGUCAGCUCGGGGGUUUGAACUUGCAACCUUCUGGCUACUAAUCCAACGCUCUAACCACUAGGCUACCCUGCCGCAUGGCACUGUCAUAUGACAGUGCCAUGUUGAAAGUCAUUGAGCUGUCAUUCUACUGCCAAUGUUUGUCUAUGGAGAUUUCAUGGAUUUUUGAUCGAUUUUAUACACCUUGUGUCUAAAAUAGUCUAAUCCACUAAUUUGAAGGGGUGUCCACAUACUUUUGUAUAUAUAGUGUAUUUGACACAAGUCGACAUACAUAAACUACCGCACCACCAGAGGACCAGAGACGCCCAUGAAACAUAUCAAACUCCAGCCCAGGAACCAGUCCCAACAACCACUGUGGUCCAAGAACCUGUACCAACAGCCACUGUCACUAAGCAAGAGACCAGGCCUUACUGGAAGUGUGGGAUGAAUAAGCCUAACCAGGUGAGAACCAGAUUCAGCCCCCAGCUGUAAGACUGGCUCAGGACACACCCAGGAACUGCUUCCACCUUUGGUUCAGGAAACUGACCAUCCAGGUGGACAUCUUCCCUGUGCUGGUCCAGGAACAUCUGGAGCAGGAAACUCUGGAGCAGGAACCUUUGGCCCAUGAACCUCUGGCCUGGGUGGAAGCCUUCUUGAGGUUGCCUACUGAAGGCCUGCCUUCUUGAUUUUUUUUAUUUAUGAUCCCCAUUAGCUAAUGCUAUGAUGUCGAAAGGUCGCUGCUUUGAAUCCUCGAUCUGACAAGGUGGAAAAAUAUCAUACUAAAUGGAGUGUCCCAUUUUUACAUACAGAAUAAUACAAAAUGCUCUGAGACCAGGUUGCAGCCCCAGCUGUGAGUUUAUCAUUGGGAAGGCUCUCGCAUUCCUCUCAAAUUCCAUUCCCAACUCGAUGUUAAAUUACUUUACACCAAUCUAUUUGCAACGAUUGCCUUGGUCUAGUAAAUGUAAUUUGCCUGAUGAUGCGUGACUGGAGGAGUUUCAUACAAGCACAUUUUUGUCCACGUUCCCGCUCCUCACCACCUCCUCUAGAUUACCUUUGACCUUUUCAAAAAGGAAGCGUGAGAGGAUGCUGGAGUUGAACAAAUCCAAUUGAGAAAAGGCCACAGUGUGACGAUGAGUGAGUCAUUAUGCUGCUUUCAAGACAACUGGGAACCGGGGAAAAAACAAGGUCAAAUCAUGAUGUCAGUGAUCUUCAGGAUUGGCUGAUCCAUCCCGAUGAACCGGUUGGACAUGACUACAAAACAGGGUCCCCAGGAGGGAUAAACCAAUGAAGUUGGAAGUCCCACCCAGUUGCCUACAUUAAAAUGGUGGAAGACCUCAAUGGUGCUGCCCAUGCUAAUACAGCCUUUUGGCCACUAGAAAUCUCCACCAUUCUCUGUCUUGAACGCACUGAAGUCAGAGAUUUCCGAGUGCCCAGUUGUUUUGAACCCAGCAAAGGAUGAUGUCAGAGUUUCUGAUUGAUAUUUUAUUUCAGAAUGUAUUAAAAUGAGUUAUUCUUGAAAUCCCA